UUCGGGGUACUCGAGCGGCGAACGGGUGAGUAACACGUGAGCAACCUGCCCUAGGCUUUGGGAUAACCCCGGGAAACCGGGGCUAAUACCGAAUAGGACCUCUGACCGCAUGGUUGGUGGUGGAAAGUUUUUCGGCCUGGGAUGGGCUCGCGGCCUAUCAGCUUGUUGGUGGGGUGAUGGCCUACCAAGGCGACGACGGGUAGCCGGCCUGAGAGGGCGACCGGCCACACUGGGACUGAGACACGGCCCAGACUCCUACGGGAGGCAGCAGUGGGGAAUAUUGCACAAUGGGCGGAAGCCUGAUGCAGCGACGCCGCGUGAGGGAUGACGGCCUUCGGGUUGUAAACCUCUUUCAGCAGGGACGAAGCGUAAGUGACGGUACCUGCAGAAGAAGCGCCGGCCAACUACGUG
rnacentral:rRNA from 1 species